rnacentral:rRNA from 1 species
GGCUCAGAUUGAACGCUGGCGGCAUGCCUUACACAUGCAAGUCGAACGGCAGCACGGGUGACUUGSRCCUGGUGGCGAGUGGCGAACGGGUGAGUAAUACAUCGGAACAUGUCCUGUAGUGGGGGAUAGCCCGGCGAAAGCCGGAUUAAUACCGCAUACGAUCCAUGGAUGAAAGCGGGGGACCUUCGGGCCUCGCGCUAUAGGGUUGGCCGAUGGCUGAUUAGCUAGUUGGUGGGGUAAAGGCCCACCAAGGCGACGAUCAGUAGCUGGUCUGAGAGGACGACCAGCCACACUGGGACUGAGACACGGCCCAGACUCCUACGGGAGGCAGCAGUGGGGAAUUUUGGACAAUGGGCGAAAGCCUGAUCCAGCAAUGCCGCGUGUGUGAAGAAGGCCUUCGGGUUGUAAAGCACUUUUGUCCGGAAAGAAAUCCUGAGGGCUAAUAUCCUUCGGGGAUGACGGUACCGGAAGAAUAAGCACCGGCUAACUACGUGCCAGCAGCCGCGGUAAUACGUAGGGUGCGAGCGUUAAUCGGAAUUACUGGGCGUAAAGCGUGCGCAGGCGGUUUGUUAAGACCGAUGUGAAAUCCCCGGGCUCAACCUGGGAACUGCAUUGGUGACUGGCAAGCUAGAGUAUGGCAGAGGGGGGUAGAAUUCCACGUGUAGCAGUGAAAUGCGUAGAGAUGUGGAGGAAUACCGAU